AGUAACCUGCCCUCGUCUUCGGGAUAACUACUGGAAACGGUGGCUAAUACCGAAUAUUCACUUCCUGUCGCAUGGUGGGUGGUGGAAAGUUUUUCGGACGGGGAUGGGCUCGCGGCCUAUCAGCUUGUUGGUGGGGUGAUGGCCUACCAAGGCGACGACGGGUAGCCGGCCUGAGAGGGUGACCGGCCACACUGGGACUGAGAUACGGCCCAGACUCCUACGGGAGGCAGCAGUGGGGAAUAUUGCACAAUGGGCGAAAGCCUGAUGCAGCGACGCCGCGUGAGGGAUGACGGCCUUCGGGUUGUAAACCUCUUUCAGCAGGGAAGAAGCGAAAGUGACGGUACCUGCAGAAGAAGCGCCGGCUAACUACGUGCCAGCAGCCGCGGUAAUACGUAGGGCGCAAGCGUUGUCCGGAAUUAUUGGGCGUAAAGAGCUCGUAGGCGGUUAGUCGCGUCUGCUGUGAAAACUCGAGGCUCAACCUCGGGCUUGCAGUGGGUACGGGCUGACUAGAGUGCGGUAGGGGUGACUGGAAUUCCUGGUGUAGCGGUGGAAUGCGCAGAUAUCAGGAGGAACACCGAUGGCGAAGGCAGGUCACUGGGCCGCAACUGACGCUGAGGAGCGAAAGCAUGGGGAGCGAACAGGAUUAGAUACCCUGGUAGUCCAUGCCGUAAACGUUGGGCACUAGGUGUGGGGUCCAUUCCACGGAUUCCGUGCCGCAGCAAACGCAUUAAGUGCCCCGCCUGGGGAGUACGGCCGCAAGGCUAAAACUCAAAGAAAUUGACGGGGGCCCGCACAAGCGGCGGAGCAUGCGGAUUAAUUCGAUGCAACGCGAAGAACCUUACCAAGGCUUGACAUGCACCGGAAACUUCCAGAGAUGGUUGCCCCGCAAGGUCGGUGCACAGGUGGUGCAUGGUUGUCGUCAGCUCGUGUCGUGAGAUGUUGGGUUAAGUCCCGCAACGAGCGCAAC
rnacentral:rRNA from 1 species